rnacentral:rRNA from 1 species
ACAAUAUUAGAGGCCCUGUCUGCCCAGUGACUUUCGUUUAACGGCCGCGGUAUCCUGACCGUGCAAAGGUAGCAUAAUCACUUGUUCUCUAAUUAAGGACUCGAAUGAACGACCACACGAGGGUUUAACUGUCUCUUAUCUCCAAUCAGUGAAAUUGACCUUCCCGUGAAGAGGCGGGAAUACAACAAUAAGACGAGAAGACCCUAUGGAGCUUAAAUUUACUAACCCAAACAAACUCACUAAGCACUUAAAAACCACCAUAAAUUUGUCCUCUGGGUUAAAAAUUUUGGUUGGGGUGACCUCGGAGAAUAACAAAACCUCCGAAUGAUUUUAACUUAGACAUAACCAGUCAAAGCAAAUAUCAACUAUUGACCCAAAUUAACUUUGAUCAACGAAACAAGUUACCCUAGGGAUAACAGCGCAAUCCUAUUCUAGAGUCCAUAUCGACAAUAGGGUUUACGACCUCGAUGUUGGAUCAGGACAACCUAAUGGUGUAACCGCUAUUAACGGUUCGUUUGUUC